rnacentral:lncRNA from 1 species
GUCAGGCUGAACAACCGGUGCCGCUAGCUGCUGAACAACCGGUACCGCUGGUGUAGGCUUGCCCUGCGGUACUGGAACGGCUGGAGCUGGGGCCUGCUGCAUACCCCCAAUGGCAGCUAGUAUCUGUACGAGCAUCGCCUGUAUAUCUGGAGCUGCCACAGGCUCUGGCGGUGGCUGGGCUGGUCCCGGGCCCAUCGGCUGCUGCUGCGCUGGAGCUGCUGGUGGCUCUAUCACCGGCUCCGAAGUUUGCUCUCGGUCCUGGGCUGGUGCUG